ACCUGGCUGGCUCAGUCGGUAGAGCAUGUGACUCUUGAUCUCAGGGUUGUGGGUUCGAAACUCACAUUGGGUG
rnacentral:tRNA from 1 species